rnacentral:rRNA from 1 species
GACGAACGCUGGCGGCGUGCUUAACACAUGCAAGUCGAACGGAAAGGCCCUGCUUUUGUGGGGUGCUCGAGUGGCGAACGGGUGAGUAACACGUGAGUAACCUGCCCUUGACUUUGGGAUAACUUCAGGAAACUGGGGCUAAUACCGGAUAGGAGCUCCUGCUGCAUGGUGGGGGUUGGAAAGUUUCGGCGGUUGGGGAUGGACUCGCGGCUUAUCAGCUUGUUGGUGGGGUAGUGGCUUACCAAGGCUUUGACGGGAAGCCGGCCUGAGAGGGUGACCGGCCACAUUGGGACUGAGAUACGGCCCAGACUCCUACGGGAGGCAGCAGUGGGGAAUAUUGCACAAUGGGCCUAAGCCUGAUGCAGCAACGCCGCGUGCGGGAUGACGGCCUUCGGGUUGUAAACCGCUUUCGCCUGUGACGAAGCGUGAGUGACGGUAAUGGGUAAAGAAGCACCGGCUAACUACGUG